UGGUUACAAGUCCUAACUUUGCAGCCAGACUGCCUGAGUUUGCAUCCUUGCCUCUACUGCUUACUAGCUGUAACCUUUAGAUAUUAAGGUCAUUCAUAAUAAUUCAUGUCUGUUCCUUUCAGUUAUAUGGUAGGAUCACACCUCUUUAAAAGUUGGUAUGACCCUGUGAUAUGUUGUAAUCUGAAAUGUGAAAAGAGCAACAUAUGUCACUUCUGGGAAGAAGCUUUAGAAUCCAGUGCCUGAUGAGUCAUGUCUGUUUCCUCUUGUCAAAGUAAGAGGGGAAGCUAUUGUCCAACUGAGGCUUUAGUCAGAUUGGAUCCUUGAGCAACAACAGACAGCAUGGAUUCUUCCCUUUAUUCAUGGACCCAUGCAGAGACUCUGUUGCAUUGAACAAAGAGUGUCCAGAAUCACCUUGGAGAUUGUCUCCAUUCAGCAUUUUGAAGAAAGAACAGCCACAAAAAAAAAAAAAAACAGCCCCUAAAACAACAACAACAACAACAACAACAACAACAACAACAAGAGCAACUAUGACAACAACACCCAAACAAACCAUAGAGGAGUCUACCUGGGAAGUUUUCAUGGGCCAAGUUUAGGAGUCAAAUACAUCAUACUCAUCAUGCUCAUACUCUUCUGACUAUGACUUCAUCCCUUCAUCACAAUUAAGUGAGACCUAGAAGAGUAUUCUAACAAUGUGCCCAGGAAAAGCAGCAAACAUAGAUUUGUGUGAUGUAUAUACCAAUAUUUGCCUCAGCUUUUUAGACCCUGGAAUCUCUGAGUAAAGAAACUAUCCACUUAAGAUCACAGGAGUCAGCAUCCUGAUGCCAAGACCCCCUGCCUCCAAGGAAUCACACCUGGACAUUCAUCUUUGUUCUAGCAUGUUCCUGGAUGCCUGAGAGAACAUGUACACCAGACAUCUACUCUCAAUAAAACAAACAAACAAAAAAACUCAGACCUUGAACAAAGAUGGAACUCCUCCUUUCCUUUCUGAGUCUCCUGGACACUGACUCCAUCUGUUAUAUCCUUUCUUUCUAU